CACUUCAACUUUAUUAUCAACCUUUGUUGUCGUGUAGAAUGCAAUGCUCCUCGUGGGCGAAAUGAAAUACAACUUUCAACAACGGAUCUCUUGGCUCUCGCAUCGAUGAAGAACGCAGCGAAAUGCGAUAAGUAAUGUGAAUUGCAGAAUUCAGUGAAUCAUCGAAUCUUUGAACGCACCUUGCGCCCCUUGGUAUUCCGAGGGGCAUGCCUGUUUGAGUGUCAUGUUAAUCUCAAUUCCCUUGUUUUCUUAACUCGGGCGUUGGACUUGGAAGUUGCUGGCCCCUCUCGCCGGUCGGCUCUUCUUAAAUGUAUUAGCUGGGCUUUGGCUCGCGUUGAACGGUGUAAUAGUAAUCUUACAUUCGCCUGAGCGCUUGCCUGACGGGUCUGCUUCUAAUCGUCUUCGGACAAGGUCUUUGUUACCUUCACUUGACACCUGACCUCAAAUCAGGUAGAAUUCCCCGCUAAACUUAACCUUUAAACCGGGGAAAAAAACAUAUUGGAUUUUGGAAGGGGAGGGCUGAUCCUGGCCGGAACCCCGAAUUGCCGGCCUGGCCCAUCCAUUCACCCGGGCCCUAAGGGAAUUAUAACCGGGGGGAAAUGAAGAGGUUAAUACUCGAGGGAAAG
rnacentral:rRNA from 1 species